UUACGGCCAUAUCACAUUCAAACACCAGUUCCCUUACGCUCACCAAAGUUAAGCAACGUCGAACGUGGUCAGUAUCCAAAUGGGUGACCGCCUGAGAAUACUAGGUGCUGUAAG